UCGUACUCCCACUUUGCUUCAUCUGCCUGAAGAACUUCUGUAGCAGCAGGGCUAGUGACCACGAGCCCUCUCAGUUUCCUCCACUCAAGAAAGCCUUCGUUUGUCUUUUUCCUGGAGGACAUUUUUACUGGAAAUAGAAUUGAAUCUGAAGACGAGACUGUUGGACUUUCUGUAAUCCCUCCCAGGUUCCCGAAGCUCUGGUCUGUGUCAGUCUCUUCUCCCUGAGUUAUGAAGAGUCUAUAAUGUCUGUUGAUUUAUACUGAAGUUCACAGACUCUUUCCUUUGUCAUCGCCAUUCUGCUGUGGAGCCCAUCGGAAUGUUCGCUGGGUGCUAUGGUGUACUUCUGCAAUCCCAGCAACUCAGGAGGCGGGGGCAGUUCAAAGUCAACCUUGG